UAAUACGGAGGGGGCUAGCGUCACUCGGAAUUACUGGGCGUAAAGCGAGCGUAGGCGGUUAAUUAAGUUGAGGGUGAAAGCCCGGGGCUCAACCCCGGAAAUGCCCUCAAAACUAUUUGACUAGAGGACGGGAGAGGGGAGUGGAACUCCCAGUGUAGAGGUGAAAUUCGUAGAUAUUGGGAAGAACACCAGUGGCGAAGGCGACUCUCUGGACCGUUUCUGACGCUAAGGCUCGAAAGCGUGGGUAGCAAACAGGAUUAGAUACCCUGGUAGUCCACGCCGUAAACGAUGAUUGCUAGACGUUGGGGGGAACGCCCCUCAGUGUCGUCGCUAACGCAUUAAGCAAUCCGCCUGGGGAGUACGGUCGCAAGAUUA
rnacentral:rRNA from 1 species